rnacentral:rRNA from 1 species
AUUGAACGCUGGCGGCAGGCUUAACACAUGCAAGUCGAGCGAGCGGCGGAAGGGGGAGUAAUGUCUUGGAAACUGCCUGAUGGAGGGGGAUAACGUCUGGAAACGGUAGCUUAUACCGCAUAACAUCAGAUGUGCCCAGGUGGGAUUUGCUAGUAGGGGGCGUAAGGGCGCACCUAGGCGACGAUCACGAGCUGGUCUGAGAGGAUGACCAGCCACACUGGAACUGAGACACGGGCCAGACUCCUACUGGAGGCAGCAGUGGGGAAUAUUGCACAAUGGGCGCAAGCCUGAUGCAGCCAUGCCGCGUGUGUGAAGAAGGCCUUCGGGUUGUAAAGCACUUUCAGCGAGGAGGCGUUACUCGCAGAAGAAGCACCGGCUAACUCCGUGCCAGCAGCCGCGGUAAUAC